GUCGUGCUGUGUGUUUGAUUGCAGAAGUGGACACAGGUGCUCUGAAACCCGAGCAGAGCAUCACCAGUUGUAACCACUUCUCCAAUCAGGCCUCCUUAGCUGUGCUGCCACCAUGCUGCCAGAAAUUCAGUCAUGCAAGUCGAGAUUCCAGAAAUUUGCUCACUAUUCUGUCACUGUUCUGCCCUGUUUCUCCUUGUGUGUUUUCCCCUGCUCCUUGGACCCUUCUUUGUCUUCACUUUGCAUAUCUCUUUACCAUGCUUGGCGCCGCUUGUUUCAGGACUGGCCCAAGCUUUAUCCUCAGUAUUCCUGGUGUUAGCCUCCUAUCCAGCCCCUUUCCCAGCCUGGCUAAUUCGUCAGUUGCCCUCCAGCACUAUCUGCACCAGGGUCCACUUCCAGAUAUCACAUUGUUAUAGAAGAAAGCUGAGGAGAGUGUACACAGUUAAUGCUGAGAUACGCUCCAGCUCUCCGCCUUGACUCUGAAUUGGAUAAGUGGAAGACAAUGAAUGGAUGGACAUUAACUAAGCAGCCUAUCAUAGCAUCAGUUCCUAUGCAAUGAUAGGCAUCAUAGCUGACAUUGGGAAAGAGGCAGACAACAUCCAGGUCUGGUCACUGGUCCUUCAUAGAGCAAACCCUAGGAAUACAGCAGGAGGAUGGAGUCUAUAGAGAGAACCCAAGCAUGCACAGGAAGAGGAUGGAAACGCCACACAAACGAUAAAUGUAAUCCAGAAGAAAAUAUGCUUCCUUUAACAUAAUUUCAAGAUAGUAGAUCUGUACAUGAAGCUUGGAACUACAGUGUAAACAACAGAGACACAACAUCAAUAAAUACUACUGUCAAAGUCAGCUUGAAGACAUGCUCAUUGUACCUGGUAAGGCAGAAAUCAUAUUAA